UUCAUCGCACAUAAAGUGGGGCCCAACUAAAUCAAUUAGCUGACGUGUCCUUGUCCAUUUGUAUUGUUAAUAGAAACCUCUUUAAAACCCCCUUAUUUUCCUUCAUGUUCCAGCAAUCCAAACAACCCUCAUAAGAAAAUUUGCCAACGGCUUCUCUCUUUGGUUCGUUGCAAACAAGCCAUUAUCAUCAACAACUCCUGCUACUUCACUAGCUUCUUCUUUGGUGAAUUCCACAAAGAUCAAAGUAGGCCAGGCAAUUCAGAAACAUUGUCAUCUUGGACGGGCAGUUGAUGUAAGGUUGUGUUUUAGAGGUGGAGAGAUGGGGAAAGGCCCAAGGAUUAGAAAGGUACCCUUCAAAUUAUGAAUUCAAUUUUAGAUUUUUUGUGAUUUUGGGUUACUGUGUUUACUAAAAGUCAUGGGGUGGUGAGGGCAGAGGAAGAUGCUGAGAAAUCUAAGCAAGUAUUGAUUUGGUGUCGUCAACUAUUCAACAAGUUGAGGAAGAUUAAGGACAAGGAGUCCGAUCAUGGUAGACACAUGAAAGGAUUUAAUAAGUUGAAGGUUAGGGAGCCAAUGCAUGUCACAAGAGGUGGAGAAUGAUGCAGAUACAGUUUCACAGCGAAAAGAUGACGACAAUCUUGAUGAGGCUGUUCACACAAAGUACUUUGACAUGCCACCUCUGACUGUCCAUGAAGCAAUUGUGCGGCUGGGAAAUAUGGAUCAUGCCAUGCCUUCUAUGGUUUCAGGCAUGCUGAAGGGGCAAGAUACAGAAUUUGAGAUCAAGUGAACUCAAACUAAUGAGAUGUAUUAACAUGCUUGUAUGAGUUCUUAAUUUAUGGAAAAUCAGAGCCACUACUAUGUUGGCGUCCAAACUUACAGGGAUGAGAAAAAAGAAUUUUGGAAUCACUAUUCAGUUUAUAUUAGAUCGAAACUUCUGUUCA